CUAGAACACAGCGGAGCUCACAGCUGUAGAAAACUCUAUUCCAAUCGAUAAUCUUUUUCCAACCUUUGGGUACUUUCUUUCACCCAAGGAUCUCAAGGCCUGCGGGGCCUGAACAAGGACGACAGGGAUGUAGAUCACCCAGCCUUGUCCUUAGACGCCUAUAAUGUCUCCCUGGGAGUCUGUGGUGAGGUUUGAGCACAGUCAAGAAGAGAUUGAGGAACAUUGAAGGAAGACCAAGGUAUGUCACCAUGGAGGCCUAGGCAGAGCACUGAAGACAAAGGAUGGCAUCAGGAAAGAGCAGGUCUGAAGGCCGGUGCUCAGAGAACAUCCCACCACAGCCAAGGGCACCACCCCAGGAGUCAACCACUCAGCCUUUGAAUAAAUGAACACUGAGUCUCGGGGGUCCAGGGAUACAGUUAUAUCAAGUAGAAGGACAUUCAUAAUCCAUCCCCAAUGGUUCUGCACGCUUCAACUUUCUUCUCUUUUCUUCCCAGAAUCCGGCUGCCCCUCUUCCCUGGAUAUUCUCCCAGAACCCUGAGCCGUCCCACCCUGGGUCUGCAUUAAAAUCUCAGAUAUCAGGCUAGCACCUAAG
rnacentral:lncRNA from 1 species